rnacentral:rRNA from 1 species
AUUGAACGCUGGCGGCAGGCUUAACACAUGCAAGUCGAACGGUAACAUAAAGAAGCUUGCUUCUUUGAUGACGAGUGGCGGACGGGUGAGUAAUGCUUGGGAAUCUAGCUUAUGGAGGGGGAUAACUACGGGAAACUGUAGCUAAUACCGCGUAGAAUCGGGAGAUGAAAGUGUGGGACCUUCGGGCCACAUGCCAUAGGAUGAGCCCAAGUGGGAUUAGGUAGUUGGUGAGGUAAAGGCUCACCAAGCCGACGAUCUCUAGCUGGUCUGAGAGGAUGACCAGCCACACUGGGACUGAGACACGGCCCAGACUCCUACGGGAGGCAGCAGUGGGGAAUAUUGCGCAAUGGGGGCAACCCUGACGCAGCCAUGCCGCGUGAAUGAAGAAGGCCUUCGGGUUGUAAAGUUCUUUCGGUGCGAGGAAGGCAUUUAGUUUACUAAACUGGAUGAUUGACGUUAACUACAGAAGAAGUACCGGCCAUCUCUCGCACCUGCUCCCGCGGUAAUGCC